rnacentral:rRNA from 1 species
CCUACGGGAGGCAGCAGUGGGGAAUAGUGCACAAUGGGGGAAACCCUGAUGCAGCGACGCCGCGUGAGUGAAGAAGUAUUUCGGUAUGUAAAGCUCUAUCAGCAGGGAAGAAGAAAGACGGUACCGGACGAAGAAGCCCCGGCUAACUACGUGCCAGCAGCCGCGGUAAGACGUAGGGGGCAAGCGUGAUCCGGAUUUACUGGGUGUAAAGGGAGCGUAGACGGAGAAGCCAGUCUGAAGUGAAAGCCCGUGGCUUAACCACGGGACUGCUUUGGAAACUGUUUGACUAGAGUGCUGGAGAGGUACGUGGCAUUCCUCGUGUAGCUGUGAACUGCGUAGAUAUUAGGAGGAACACCAGUGGCGAAGGCGGCUUACUGGACAGUAACUGACGUUGCGGCUCGAAAGCGUGGGGAGCAAACAGGAUUAGAUACCCGGGUAGUC